AGGUACAGUCAUGCCAUCCUGAGCAUACCCAGUCUUGUCUGAUCUUUGAAGCUAAGCAGAGUUAGGCCUGAUUAGUACAGAAAUACCUUGGAGAUACUGCAGACUUGGUUUGAGACCACUGUAAUAA
rnacentral:rRNA from 1 species